CCGCAGGGGAAUGGGUUAUUCGAACACGCGCAGAACCUUACCAGCCCUUGACAUCCCGGUCGCGGACAGGAGAGAUCCUGUCCUUCAGUUCGGCUGGACCGGUGACAGGUGCUGCAUGGCUGUCGUCAGCUCGUGUCGUGAGAUGUUGGGUUAAGUCCCGCAACGAGCGCAACCCUCGCCCUUAGUUGCCAGCAUUUGGUUGGGCACUCUAAGGGGACUGCCGGUGAUAAGCCGAGAGGAAGGUGGGGAUGACGUCCAGUCCUCAUGGCCCUUACUGGCUGGGCUACACCCGUGGCAAAAUGGUGGUGACAGGGGGCAACCAGACCCCCAGGUACAACUAAUCCUCCAAAACCUUAUUCACUUCCAUAAUGGCUCUUUACAACCCGUGAACAUGAAUUAAAAAUUCAUAGUGACCGUAGCUCACUAUGAAACAUCCGAAUAUGUCCCCGGCAUCUUGUAAUCCAAACUUCUAUAAAUUUCUUUCUGUUUCCUUAAUUAUU
rnacentral:rRNA from 1 species